rnacentral:rRNA from 1 species
CCUUCGAAGGAGGCUAAUACCGCAUGAGACCACGCCUCCGAGAGGGGGAGGGUCAAAGCCGGCCUCUAUACAUAAGCUGGCGCUUGAGGAUGAGCCUGCGGCCCAUCAGCUAGUUGGUAGGGUAACGGCCUACCAAGGCGAAGACGGGUAGCUGGUCUGAGAGGAUGAUCAGCCACACUGGAACUGAGACACGGUCCAGACUCCUACGGGAGGCAGCAGUGGGGAAUCUUGCGCAAUGGCGAAAGCCUGACGCAGCGACGCCGCGUGGGUGAUGAAGGCCUUCGGGUUGUAAAGCCCUGUGGAGGGGGACGAAUAAGUCGGAGCGAACAGCUCGCGAUGAUGACGGUACCCCUUUAGCAAGCACCGGCUAACUCUGUGCCAGCAGCCGCGGUAA